CCUACGGGCGGCAGCAGUGGGGAAUAUUGCACAAUGGGCGGAAGCCUGAUGCAGCGACGCCGCGUGAGGGAUGGAGGCCUUCGGGUUGUGAACCUCUUUCGCCAGUGAAGCAGGCCCGCCCCUUGUGUGGGUGGGUUGACGGUAGCUGGAUAAGAAGCGCCGGCUAACUACGUGCCAGCAGCCGCGGUAAUACGUAGGGCGCGAGCGUUGUCCGGAAUUAUUGGGCGUAAAGGGCUUGUAGGCGGCUGGUCGCGUCUGCCGUGAAAUCCCCUGGCUUAACUGGGGGCGUGCGGUGGGUACGGGCUGACUUGAGUGCGGUAGGGGAGACUGGAACUCCUGGUGUAGCGGUGGAAUGCGCAGAUAUCAGGAAGAACACCGGUGGCGAAGGCGGGUCUCUGGGCCGUUACUGACGCUGAGGAGCGAAAGCGUGGGGAGCGAACAGGAUUAGAUACCCUAGUAGUC
rnacentral:rRNA from 1 species